UACAGAGGGUGCGAGCGUUAAUCGGAAUUACUGGGCGUAAAGCGCACGUAGGUGGUUGAUUAAGUCGAUUGUGAAAUACCUGGGCUUAACCUGGGAACUGCAGUUGAUACUGGUCGACUAGAGUAUGGUAGAGGGAAGUGGAAUUUCCGGUGUAGCGGUGAAAUGCGUAGAUAUCGGAAGGAACACCAGUGGCGAAGGCGACUUCCUGGACUAAUACUGACACUGAGGUGCGAAAGCGUGGGUAGCGAACAGG
rnacentral:rRNA from 1 species